AUUGCGAUUUGCUGCACGUUGGAGCGUCCGCUAAACCGACUCACACGUAUUCAUGCGCUGCAGAAAACGCCCUCGCCGAGAGAAAAGAAACAUGACGGUGGUCUGAUUUAUACGUGGAAGAAACCAGAGAUUUUCCGGAGGUCGACGUAACACCUCACAAUGCGUGUGACAAAACUUAUCCAAACUAGCAGAAGAUGGAUUCGAUCUCCCCACCUCGACCAGUAAUAUUAACGUAAAGUGAAUUCAUUGAACAUGUGUAUUGUUCAUAUUAAAAUUUGAAUCCGGUUCGCUCCGGGAAAC